rnacentral:tmRNA from 1 species
GGGGACGUUACGGUUUCGACGGGGAGUGCUGUGAUAGGUGUAGCGAGUCGAGUUCCCACAAACUCGUUAAACGGUGGAAAGCACUAUAAGUGCCAAUAAUAGUUUACCACAAGCUGCUUAAUUAGCAGCCGUCCGACCUCUUCUUGACCUGGGAGAAGGGCAAGGGCGUCAAUUAAACCAGGAUGCUCGGGGAUCAAUUCUCGGAGGUUUCCGCUAAGAUUAUCGAGAUAGCAAGGGCUAAGCGUUCUUGUACGCGUAGUUUGAGCGAAUUCUAAAUUACAAGAUACACUCGUAGAAGCGCCUUGAUUGGCCUUUUCGGACCCGGGUUCGACUCCCGGCGUCUCCAU